rnacentral:rRNA from 1 species
UACGAAGGGGGCUAGCGUUGUUCGGAAUUACUGGGCGUGAAGCGCGCGCAGGCGGCUAUCCAAGUCAGUGGUGAAAGCCCGGAGCUCAACUCCGGAACUGCCAUUGAAACUGUUUAGCUUGAGGACGAGAGAGGUGAGUGGAAUUCCCAGUGUAGAGGUGAAAGUCGUAGAUAUUGGGAAGAACACCGGUGGCGAAGGCGGCUCACUGGACUGGUAUUGACGCUGAGGUGCGAAAGCGUGGGGAGCAAACAGG